GGAUGCGAUCAUACCAGCACUAACGCACCGGAUCCCAUCAGAUCUCCGAAGUUAAGCCUGC
rnacentral:rRNA from 1 species